rnacentral:rRNA from 1 species
CGGGACACGUGGUAUCCUGUCUGAAUAUGGGGGGACCAUCCUCCAAGGCUAAAUACUCCUGACUGACCGAUAGUGAACCAGUACCGUGAGGGAAAGGCGAAAAGAACCCCGGCGAGGGGAGUGAAAAAGAACCUGAAACCGUGUACGUACAAGCAGUGGGAGCACAGAGCAAUCUGUGUGACUGCGUACCUUUUGUAUAAUGGGUCAGCGACUUAUAUUCUGUAGCAAGGUUAACCGAAUAGGGGAGCCGAAGGGAAACCGAGUCUUAACCGGGCGUUAAGUUGCAGGGUAUAGACCCGAAACCCGGUGAUCUAGCCAUGGGCAGGUUGAAGGUUGGGUAACACUAACUGGAGGACCGAACCGACUAAUGUUGAAAAAUUAGCGGAUGACUUGUGGCUGGGGGUGAAAGGCCAAUCAAACCGGGAGAUAGCUGGUUCUCCCCGAAAGCUAUUUAGGUAGCGCCUCGUGAAUUCAUCUCCGGGGGUAGAGCACUGUUUCGGCAAGGGGGUCAUCCCGACUUACCAACCCGAUGCAAACUGCGAAUACCGGAGAAUGUUAUCACGGGAGACACACGGCGGGUGCUAACGUCCGUCGUGAAGAGGGAAACAACCCAGACCGCCAGCUAAGGUCCCAAAGUCAUGGUUAAGUGGGAAACGAUGUGGGAAGGCCCAGACAGCCAGGAUGUUGGCUUAGAAGCAGCCAUCAUUUAAAGAAAGCGUAAUAGCUCACUGGUCGAGUCGGCCUGCGCGGAAGAUGUAACGGGGCUAAACCAUGCACCGAAGCUGCGGCAGCGACACUGUGUGUUGUUGGGUAGGGGAGCGUUCUGUAAGCCUGUGAAGGUGUGCUGUGAGGCAUGCUGGAGGUAUCAGAAGUGCGAAUGCUGACAUAAGUAACGAUAAAGCGGGUGAAAAGCCCGCUCGCCGGAAGACCAAGGGUUCCUGUCCAACGUUAAUCGGGGCAGGGUGAGUCGACCCCUAAGGCGAGGCCGAAAGGCGUAGUCGAUGGGAAACAGGUUAAUAUUCCUGUACUUGGUGUUACUGCGAAGGGGGGACGGAGAAGGCUAUGUUGGCCGGGCGACGGUUGUCCCGGUUUAAGCGUGUAGGCUGGUUUUCCAGGCAAAUCCGGAAAAUCAAGGCUGAGGCGUGAUGACGAGGCACUACGGUGCUGAAGCAACAAAUGCCCUGCUUCCAGGAAAAGCCUCUAAGCAUCAGGUAACAUCAAAUCGUACCCCAAACCGACACAGGUGGUCAGGUAGAGAAUACCAAGGCGCUUGAGAGAACUCGGGUGAAGGAACUAGGCAAAAUGGUGCCGUAACUUCGGGAGAAGGCACGCUGAUAUGUAGGUGAAGUCCCUCGCGGAUGGAGCUGAAAUCAGUCGAAGAUACCAGCUGGCUGCAACUGUUUAUUAAAAACACAGCACUGUGCAAACACGAAAGUGGACGUAUACGGUGUGACGCCUGCCCGGUGCCGGAAGGUUAAUUGAUGGGGUCAGCGCAAGCGAAGCUCUUGAUCGAAGCCCCGGUAAACGGCGGCCGUAACUAUAACGGUCCUAAGGUAGCGAAAUUCCUUGUCGGGUAAGUUCCGACCUGCACGAAUGGCGUAAUGAUGGCCAGGCUGUCUCCACCCGAGACUCAGUGAAAUUGAACUCGCUGUGAAGAUGCAGUGUACCCGCGGCAAGACGGAAAGACCCCGUGAACCUUUACUAUAGCUUGACACUGAACAUUGAGCCUUGAUGUGUAGGAUAGGUGGGAGGCUUUGAAGUGUGGACGCCAGUCUGCAUGGAGCCGACCUUGAAAUACCACCCUUUAAUGUUUGAUGUUCUAACGUGGACCCGUGAUCCGGGUUGCGGACAGUGUCUGGUGGGUAGUUUGACUGGGGCGGUCUCCUCCUAAAGAGUAACGGAGGAGCACGAAGGUUGGCUAAUCCUGGUCGGACAUCAGGAGGUUAGUGCAAUGGCAUAAGCCAGCUUGACUGCGAGCGUGACGGCGCGAGCAGGUGCGAAAGCAGGUCAUAGUGAUCCGGUGGUUCUGAAUGGAAGGGCCAUCGCUCAACGGAUAAAAGGUACUCCGGGGAUAACAGGCUGAUACCGCCCAAGAGUUCAUAUCGACGGCGGUGUUUGGCACCUCGAUGUCGGCUCAUCACAUCCUGGGGCUGAAGUAGGUCCCAAGGGUAUGGCUGUUCGCCAUUUAAAGUGGUACGCGAGCUGGGUUUAGAACGUCGUGAGACAGUUCGGUCCCUAUCUGCCGUGGGCGCUGGAGAACUGAGGGGGGCUGCUCCUAGUACGAGAGGACCGGAGUGGACGCAUCACUGGUGUUCGGGUUGUCAUGCCAAUGGCACUGCCCGGUAGCUAAAUGCGGAAGAGAUAAGUGCUGAAAGCAUCUAAGCACGAAACUUGCCCCGAGAUGAGUUCUCCCUGACCCUUUAAGGGUCCUGAAGGAACGUUGAAGACGACGACGUUGAUAGGCCGGGUGUGUAAGCGCAGCGAUGCGUUGAGCUAACCGGUACUAAUGAACCGUGAGGCUU